ACCAUAAAGGGUAACAUAUUACAAUAUUUAUACUAGUCCAUACCGUGGAGAUGUUGCCCCUACAUCCCCAAAAAGAUCAGUAAUAGGCUUCGGGCUCAAGCCUAUCGACUCUCACUUUUUAUCCUAAUCGGGUCGCAGCGCGAAACUUUCGGUCAUAUCACAAUUCGGAUCCAUGAAAACAUAUCCAAAAUUCAAGUCACAAAAAAUAACAAUAAUAAUCUCUUUUGGAGAACAAGAAUCAUUAUUAACCUAAUGACAAGUCCAAUCUAUGUAAGAAUUUAUUUGCCAAUGAUUACUCCAAAUAUCAAAACAAAUUAAAAAUUUUAUGUUUCAAUACAGUCAACAAUUUCAUCAAUUCAUUUUUUUUGCUUAUAAAAUAUUGAAAUUAUGCCUCUUUUCAAUGUAUUUCUUGGAAUCCUCUUAUACUGAGAUUCAAUGAAAAUUGAAAAAAUUGCUAACCAAAAUAUUUGAAGAAUGUCGGUGAUUAACUCAAUUUGAUCCUAUAUUUGAAUGGAAAUAAGAAUUUUCAUCAGUUUACUACUACAUUUUAGGUUUUGGAUAACAGUAUUUUAUAAGCGGAUAUAAAACAUUUAUUACAGUGUUAAAAGCAGAAUAAGCCUUGACCCUAGUGGCUGUUGUCUCUUUGGUUCUAUCAACUCCAACAGCACCCUCUUCCGCCUUCUUCACCUUCAAACCCUUAAUCUUGCCUACAACAACUUCAACUGCUCUCAAAUACCAUCUCAAAUUGGCCAGCUCUCAAGUUUAACUUACCUCAACCUCUCUAAUUCUUAUUUUUCUGGCCAAAUCCAUAAUCUAUAGGGUUGAUAUCCCUCGAUCCAUUUUAUAAUGAUCAAUUGAAGCUGCACAAGCCUAGUCUCAGAGAUCUAGUUCAAAGAUUCGCCAAUUUGAAGGAACUUCAUCUCUCAGGAGUGAACAUUUCUUCAACGGUACCUGAUAUCUUGGCAAAUUUUCCAUCUUUGGAAUCUCUUCGUCUCUCUCUUUGUGGAUUGCAAGGUGAAUUCCCUAUUGGCAUUUUUCAGAUUCCAAACAUACUUGAUGUAAGCUAAAACCCAGACCUCAAAGGUUAUUUGCCUCCUUUCCAAUUGUGGAGUCUCCUUAAAUCAUUGAUCCUUUCUGAAAGGAAUUUUGUUGGAGAGCUACCUUCCUCUAUUGAAAACCUUGUCUACUUGGAAGAUCAAGAUUUCUCCUAUUGCAAUUUCACCAGACAGCUCCCUUCUUCCCUCGGCAACGUUACCAAGCUUACCUCUCUGUGGCUCUCAAAUAAUAAUUUUGUUGGAGAGUUACCUUCCUCUAUUGGAAACCUUGCCGACUUGGAAAAUCUGGAUUUCUCCGAUUGCAAUUUCACCGGACAGCUACCUUCUUCCCUUAGUAAGCGUACCAAGCUUACCUAUCUGUGGCUCUCAAAUAAUGAUUUUGUUGGAGAGUUACCUUCCAUCUAUUGGAAACCUUACCAAGCUUGUCACACACUACCCUCUAACUAAUAAAACACGGUG
rnacentral:misc_RNA from 1 species